rnacentral:rRNA from 1 species
CUCGUAGGCGGCCAACUCAGUCGGACGUGAAAUCCCUCGGCUUAACCGGGGAACUGCGUCCGAUACUGGAUGGCUUGAGUGUGGGAGAGGGAUGCGGAAUUCCAGGUGUAGCGGUGAAAUGCGUAGAUAUCUGGAGGAACACCGGUGGCGAAGGCGGCAUCCUGGACCACGACUGACGCUGAGUGAGCGAAAGCCAGGGGAGCAAACGGGAUUAGGAUACCCCGGUAGUCCUGGCCCUAAACGAUGAAUGCUUGGUGUGGCGGGUAUCGAUCCCUGCCGUGCCGAAGCUAACGCAUUAAGCAUUCCGCCUGGGGAGUACGGUCGCAAGGCUGAA